CCCGAAGGUAUCCUGAAUCUUUCGCAUUGUUAAUCAUACAAGUGCAUAUAAUAAACACAAAAAUCAAUGAUAAUCAUGCCAUUAUAUAAUUCCGAAAAAUUAACGCACUGUACUCAUAUAAAUCUAUCAGUACUUUAUCAAAUUUAUGACAUUUAUUUUAUGUUAAAAUGCAAGCAUAAUAAUUUAAAUAAACUAUAAGUCAAAAUUU
rnacentral:rRNA from 1 species